rnacentral:misc_RNA from 1 species
UCCGAGUUGACCCCGGCAGUCUCCCAUGAGUCCCCGGCAUAACCCGCUGGCAACAUGGAAUGAGGGUUGCGCUCGUUGCGGGACUUAACCCAACAUCUCACGACACGAGCUGACGACAACCAUGCACCACCUGUCCACCAGCCCCGAAGGGAAACCCCAUCUCCGAGGCGGUCCGGUGAAUGUCAAGCCUCGGUAAGGUUCUUCGCGUUGCUUCGAAUUAAACCACAUGCUCCACCGCUUGUGCGGGCCCCCGUCAAUUCCUUUGAGUUUCAGCCUUGCGGCCGUACUCCCCAGGCGGGGCACUUAACGCGUUAGCUACGACACUGAAGGGGUCGAUCCCACCAGCGUCUAGUGCCCAUCGUUUACGGCGUGGACUAC